AUUUAUUAUGAUGUUUGACUCCCUUAUGUCAUAGAAGAAACCUUAGAAACAGAGAAGUUAGGUGACCUGCUCAGAGUUCCACAGCAUCUUCCCGUUCAACAUACAACCUAGCCUCAAUUUUCUAGUGUAAAAGGGGACAGGAGAAAUGGAAUAGAAAGUAGGAGGUAAAUAGAAAAGAUCAGGCUGGGUGCGGUGGCUCAAGCCUGUAAUCCCAGCACUUUGGGAGGCCGAGACGGGCGGAUCACGAGGUCAGGAGAUCGAGACUAUCCUGGCUAACACGGUGAAACCCCGUCUUUACUAAAAAUAUACAAAAAGCUAUACAAAAAACUAGCCGGGCGUGAUGGCAGGCGCCUGUAGUCCCAGCUACUCGGGAGGCUGAGGCAGGAGAAUGGUGUAAACCCGGGAGGCGGAGCUUGCAGUGAGCUGAGAUCCGGCCACUGCACUCCAGCCUGGGCGACAGAGCGAGACUCUGCCUCAAAAAAAAAAAAAAAAAAAAAAAAAAAGGGAAAUAGAAAAGAUCUAGAAUAAGAAAGGCAAUCAUAAAUCUUCUAACAAACUGAGAACACUCAUCAGAAAGUUGAGCAUUCGGCCUUGGGGUAAAUAGAGAGCUCUUGCUUUUUUAAUAUAUUGCCUUGUAUAGAUAUUGUGUGUGUACUCAUAGGACCAAGAAGUCUGGGAAGUCUGAGGACCAAGAAACCUGGGAACUCUGAGUACAAUGCAUGACUGGAAAACUAAUGAGGCAAUCAACUGCAUGACUUUCUGCUAGGAAGAUUGAACUGGAAUUGGAGCACCCAGGUUCACUGUCACAUACAGGAUUGAAGCCUUCACAUCUGACACGCAACUUUGCAGGACACAAGGGACCAAAAGAGGGUUUGGUCUGGGGAAGACAUACAUGACAGUAGGUAUUCAAGGAAAGGAUGGCGGCUGCUCUCCAAACAUCUUUCCAGGGCUGCAGAGAGCAGGGGUUGGGUGGAGGUGGAGCUGGAGGUCAAAUCUUUCGAUGAAAUCCUCCAGCCCCGCUUUGCCCUCCACCCUCCCACCAUCACCCAUGAUAAGCGUGGAGCAUUGUUCAGGACAGAAAAGAAGAAACUCCUUCACGUCAGGCUAUAUGCAUGUGGUAUUCAUGCAUAAGGCCAAUAUCUAUCACUGUAAUGGCAAAGAUGACGGAGGUAAUAUCAAUCUGGAUUU
rnacentral:lncRNA from 1 species